rnacentral:rRNA from 1 species
GACGAACGCUGGCGGCGCGCCUAACACAUGCAAGUCGAACGAGCGAUGGAGAGCUUGCUUUCCAGAGCGAGUGGCGAACGGGUGAGUAACGCGUGAGGAACCUGCCUCAAAGAGGGGGACAACAGUUGGAAACGACUGCUAAUACCGCAUAAACGCACAGUGCCGCAUGGCACGGUGUGAAAAACUCCGGUGGUCUGGGAUGGACCCGNGUCCGAUUAGCUGGUUGGUGAGGUAACGGCCCACCAAGGCGACGAUCAGUAGCCGGCCUGAGAGGGUGAACGGCCACAUUGGGACUGAGACACGGCCCAAACUCCUACGGGAGGCAGCAGUGGGGAAUAUUGCACAAUGGGGGAAACCCUGAUGCAGCGACGCCGCGUGAGUGA